rnacentral:lncRNA from 1 species
CUUAAUCCCUGAGCCACAUUGCAGUCCUUUUAUUUUUAAUUUUGAAAUAGGUGUCUCGCUGAGUUGCUGAGGUUGGCCUUGAACUUGUGAUUCUCCUGCCUACCCUCCUGAGUCACUGGAAUUCCAGACGUUUGCCACCACAUCCAGUAAGAGAACUCUCUUAGAACACACAUAAAUACACACACACACACACACACACACAAAAGUUAAAAAAAAAAAUUAUAUAACUCUUUCUGGAUUUUACUUUGUAAAAAAAUUGAUUAUGCUUUAGAACACUUUCGUUUUAUAGAAAAAUUGAGUGAAAAGUACAGAAAGAUCCUAUAUAACACCCACUCACCCCAUCCUACAAUUUGCCCUGUUAUUAAUAUCUUGCAUGAGUCUGGUACAUUUCUUAUAAUGGAUAAAACUAUACUGACAUAUUAUUAUUAAUUAAAGCCCAUAAUUUAUGGUUUCACGGUUUCUAUUUUAUAAUCUGUGGGUUUUAACAGAUGUAUAAUUUCUUAUAUGUAUCAUAGUGUCAUACAGAAUAUUCAUUGCCCUAAAAAUCCCCUGUGCUCCACUUAUUCAUCUCUCUACCACCCUCCCUAAUCCUUGGCAACCAUAUUUUUACUGUCUUCAUAGUUUUGCCUUUUCUAGAAUGUCUUAUAGUUGUAAUUAUGGAAUGUGGCUCUUUUAGAUAGGAUUUUUCCAUGGUGUAAUAUUCAUUUUAGGUUCCUCCAUAUCUUUUCAUGGCUUGAUACCUCAAUUCUUUUUAUCAAUGAAUACAUAGUUAACUGAAUAUAUGGCAAUAUAUCACAGUGUCAUAUCAUUGUGUGAAUGUACCACAGUUUAUCCAUUUGCCUAUUGAAGGACAUUUUGGUUUCUUCCAAGUUUUUGUAAUUAUGAAUAAAACUACUAUAAACAUUCAUGUGCAUGAUUUUUUAUAAACAUGAGUUUUCAACUCAUUUGGUCAAAUACCAAGAGUGCAAUUGCGGGAUAACAUGGUAAGAGUUAUGUUUAACUUUGUAAGAAAUUACCAAACUGUGUUCCAAAGUAGCUGCACCAUUUCACAUUACCAC